rnacentral:lncRNA from 1 species
UGACAGAAGAAAAUGACUGAGAUUGCUACCAAGACAAGGCUGAUGUCACUUGAACUGUUGGAGGUUAGUUUAAAUCGUGGAGGUUGCUAUAUUUGAUUUUCUUUGUUUAGAUCGUAUCUGCUGAUUCUUUUACCUGCAGGGAUUGUUAGACGUGCGCCCGUGCUCAUGUGCCUCCAUGUGUGGCUCUCUAAUCAGAUCUACGAGCUGCCUCUCUAUGCAGCAGGAGCCAAACUAUGUGCCACCGUAUGCAUAGUCAGAUCUCUAAUUAGAUGAUCUGCCUCCACUAUUGUACGCAUGUUAAGCUUGGUCAUUUAAUU